AGAUAAUAGAUACCCGGGUAGUCCUAGCCUUAAACGAUGAAUGCUUGGUGUCUGGGGUUUUAUAGUCCCCGGGUGCCGUCGCUAAACGCUUUAAAGCAUUCCGCCUGGGGAGUACGGUCGCAAGACUGAAACUCAAAGGAAUUGACGGGGACCCGCACAAGCGGUGGAGCAUGUGGUUUAAUUCGACGCAACGCGAAGAACCUUACCUGGGCUAGAAUGCCUCUGACCGGCGUAGAGAUACGCCUUCCUGGGUAAAACCAGGCAGAGUGCAAGGUGCUGCAUGGCUGUCGUCAGCUCGUGUCGUGAGGUGUUGGGUUAAGUCCCGCAACGAGCGCAACCCUUAUCAAUAGUUGCCAGCGGUUCGGCCGGGCACUCUAUUGAGACUGCCGUUGACAAAACGGAGGAAGGUGGGGAUGACGUCAAGUCCUCAUGGCCUUUAUGUCCAGGGCUACACACGUGCUACAAUGGCAAGUACAAAGCGCUGCAAACCUGCAAAGGGGAGCCAAUCGCAAAAAGCUUGUCUCAGUUCGG
rnacentral:rRNA from 1 species